GCCGCGUCCCCGGCACGGCGCCCCCUUCCAGCCGGUCCCCGCUCCCAGCGCCGGCUCUUGGCGCCCGAAGACCCGGGGCCUCCUCUCUCCCGAACCGUCAACGUCCGGAAACCGGCGGCCGGAACAAGUGGCGGGAAGGCGGCCUCCGGAAUCCCUGCCUUCUCUCUCCUUCCGAAGACGCACGGAGUCGUCCGGGCGGCCCGGCGCCCACCUCCUCACGCCAAGAGCCCGAAGACUCGAGGUCCGGCUCGAGAGCGACAAGCGGGCCAACCGUGACUUCCGGCGUCUAUUCCAGCGGCACCUGCGAUCACGAGCCCUGCACGCCUCUGCCUUUCCACACACGCUUUGACAAGGAGGGAGUAAGCAAGAGGAGCCCAAGGCCCACGUAAAACCAAACGAGACCAAACCCGAGUCUCGUCAGGUGGCAGCCAGGGCCCCGAGAAAAGUAGCAGGUGCUACAAAUCUUCCCGACGAAGAACACGGUUUCGAUCGAGGCAGCGAGGGAACCUUCCGACCUGCACGACGCCAGGGGACACGUGACAAGAAGCUCUGGGAACGGCAGCGGGAGGGGAACGAGCAGGACGGUCUCCCGGCUCCCAACGGGAAAGGCACGGGUGUCCAGCCUGAAGUUCCAGGCGUGGGAACAACAUCAGGAAAAAUUUCCAAAGGACCUGAAAUUUGGUUUUCACUGACUUAGCCCCAAAUAAGCACAAGGUGUGAUUAAAAUGGGGCAGAGGGAGGCGAACGAGAGAAGUUUAAGCUCAAUUAUCAAUAUCAAAAGAAGAAUUUUAUGUUCUUGUUAAAAAUUUUGGAAACUGAAGAGAUUUAAACAUUUUUUUUUUCCUGAACACUUAUUCCUUAAAGCAUAUGAGAAUUAAAAUGUUGGGAGUCUAUUUUUCCACUAAUAACCUAAAACAUUUGAUCCUACGAUUUUAAACCAGAGGUAGACAAGGCUGGAUGCACAUCAGAAUCUCACAGAAGCUUCUGGAUAAGGGCCUCACCCAAGACUACCUGAAUCUCUAGGGCGGGGCCCUGGCAAGGUCUGCUUGUUUUUGAAAAGUCUGCUCCAGGUGAAAUUUACCAGUGGUGAGUAGAGAACCACCAAUUUAGAUCUUACCACUAGCAAAUUAAACUAGAAAGUGGCAUCAAUAUAUACUUCACUUUAUCUGAAUCUUAUAAUACAGUGAGAACAAUAAGCACCUGAGCUAAAAAUGCAGUAGGGAAGACAUUAAAGGACAUCUGUCAUUUUAAUCACAUUUUUCAGGCCUCUCGUUAAAAAAAAAAAUCAAUGGUUGAGUUAGCCUAAAAAAACCCUACGUAUGGUACCUAUAGAUUACACUACCUAUAACAUGUCGUGCUCAAGAAUCUUUAUUACAAAUAUUAAGUUCUAGAGUAGCUUAUUUAUAUCUCAAAAGAUUUUACUCAAAGCACAGAAUGGCUCUUCCCUGAAUACAUAAUUAUACAACAGUCACACUGUAAAGCCAGCACGUCGUGCAUACAGGGCUAAUACUGUAAAGUGCUUUUAUUUACAUAGGGUUCGUGGCGGAUCAAUUUUUACCUAUGAUCUCUGAAAUAACUGUCAUUUGUUUCACAGGCACACGGAACUUCAGAAAGUUUAGGAAAGGAGUUUUUUCUUUUGGUUUUACGUGACAGGUGGUGAUGGUAUGCUCUGUAAAAGGUAUCUUUCAGAAUAUCUGACCUGCACUCGACAGCUGGAUUGUGGAAGGUGUGCACCACGUUUCUAAGGAUACGUUUUUCACUUCCAUACAACUGAACACCGCAUGCGGCCGCCCGGGCCCAAGGAGGCAGUGCGGUUCAUGCUGGAUACGUACCAUUGUCUAUGAAACCACAGCGGUUUACCAAAAACCAGGACAUUAUGAUUAACUGAAGGUCGAAAGGAAAAACAUCCUCGUUACUGAUCAUCUCUUUAAGUAGUAGCCUACUGUGCAACCCUACCAUCAAGUACAUUUUGUGUUCGCACAGGAAGUAACUACAUUGUUUUUUGAUCUCUGAGGACCUUGCAGGGCCUGAAAGUCAUGCUGAACAUCAACGCUGAAUGUUAAGAGCUGGCUUAUACAGAGUGCAGGUGCCUCUAGUGGCUCCAGGACAUACCCUACAAACCGCAUACUGAAUAAUCCUUGUUACCACUGUG